UGAGGGAAGAGGUCAGAGUCAUAAGGUUACAUGGGAAAACUUGGGGGCUAGACUCUCACCAGAAAUAAGGGAGGAAAUGACAAGUGCUUUCAGAUUUAUAGUAAAUGGGAUGCUAAAAUAGUCAACCAUUUGGAUAUUGCUAUGUUAUCAAUCCAAUUAACCUUGCUUCAUGUUACCCAGUGUGUUCAGCGAUACUGAUGGGGUCCAAAGUGAUAUGAAAUGCCCCACUGCUGAUGGUGAUCCCGGAUAAGAGAGAAAAUACAGCUCUUGGAGUCCCGAGUUUGGAAGAGCAGUGAAUUGCAAUUCCCAAGUUAUGAAGGCAGUGAUAACCUGUGAUUUGGUUGCAAACGAAGAUGGUUUUCAUUUUAUCAGCAACGUAAAUUUGUCAAAAUCGUCAGCAGGGCUGAAUGCCAACUGGCUGUCAGAGUCACACUGAUGUCAGCUCACGCCAGAUGCCCGCGAACAAAUGGAGUUUGUCAAAAUUUUAAAGCCCAUGAUGUUCUCUGAUGGGAGUAAUGUCUCCUCCUCAGGACCAAGAGUGAAGAACCAGGGCAGUGACAGGCAUGUGUUUGGAUCCCCAGGACCCUGUUCUGAUGGGCACUGAGGUUCUCGUUUGAGCCGACUCAAGAAAUGAAGAAAGUUCUCUCGGCCAUUUAAAAAUAGAUAAGCAAAAAAGGAGGAGAAGGAGAAAAGGAGAGAAGGAAGAGGAGAAGGAGAAAAAGAGAGAAAAGGUACAAGAAAUUGCAUUAAUGCCACACUUCAGACAAAAGCAUUGUUAGCCCCUCAG
rnacentral:lncRNA from 1 species